rnacentral:rRNA from 1 species
GGCCUAUUAGGUCUCGUAAUUGGAAUGAGAACAAUUUAAAUACCUUAACGAGGAACAAUUAGAGGGCAAGUCUGGUGCCAGCAGCCGCGGUAAUUCCAGCUCUGAUAGUAUAUAUUAAAGUUGUUGCAGUUAAAAAGCUCGUAGUUGAAACUUGGGUGCGUAGGGGCGGUCUCUUUUAGAGUACUACCCUGAAACAUCUUUCUUUGGUGUAAACUUUCUAUUUAUUUAGGAAGUGUAAACCAAACAUUUACUUUGAAAAAAUUAGAGUGUUCAAAGCAGGCCUUUGCUCGAAUAUAUUAGCAUGGAAUAAUAGAAUAGGACGUAUGGUUCUAUUUUGUUGGUUUCUAGGACCGUCGUAAUGAUUAAUAGGGACGGUCGGGGGCAUCAGUAUUCAGUUGUCAGAGGUGAAAUUCUUGGAUUUACUGAAGACUAACUACUGCGAAAGCAUUUGCCAAGGACGUUUUCAUUAAUCAAGAACGAAAGUUAGGGGAUCGAAGACGAUCAGAUACCGUCGUAGUCUUAACCGUAAACUAUGCCGACUAGGGAUCGGAGGGCGUUAUAAUAACCUCUCCGGCACCUUACGAGAAAUCAAAGUUUUUGGGUUCUGGGGGGAGUAUGGUUGCAAGGCUGAAACUUAAAGGAAUUGACGGAAGGGCACCACCAGGAGUGGAGCCUGCGGCUUAAUUUGACACAACACGGGGAAACUCACCAGGUCCAGACACAAUAAGGAUUGACAGAUUGAGAGCUCUUCCAUGAUUUUGUGGGUGGUGGUGCAUGGCCGUUCUUAGUUGGUGGAGUGAUUUGUCUGCUUAAUUGCGAUAACGAACGAGACCUUAACCUGCUAAAUAGCUGUAACAAUAGAUUAUUGUUUUGACAGCUUCUUAGAGGGACUAUCGAUUUUCAAGUCGAUGGAAGUUUGAGGCAAUAACAGGUCUGUGAUGCCCUUAGACGUUCUGGGCCGCACGCGCGCUACACUGACGGAGCCAGCGAGUCUAACCUGUGCCGAGAGGUAUGGGUAAUCUUGUGAAACUCCGUCGUGCUGGGGAUAGAGCAUUGCAAUUAUUGCUCUUCAACGAGGAAUUCCUAGUAAGCGCAAGUCAUCAGCUUGCGUUGAUUACGUCCCUGCCCUUUGUACACACCGCCCGUCGCUACUACCGAUUGAAUGGCUUAGUGAGGCUUCCGGAUUGAUUAACUGGAGAGGGCAACUUUUCUGGUUGAACGAGAAGCUAGUCAAACUUGGUCAUUUAGA